rnacentral:RNase_P_RNA from 1 species
GAAGUGGGCUGGACGGUCGCUGCUGUGGAGGUCUCCGUGACUGAAACAGGGGAGGAAAGUCCGGGCUUCAUAGGGCAGGGUGCCAGGUAACGCCUGGGCGGCGAAAGCCGACGGCAAGUGCAGCAGAGAGUAGACCGCCUCAUUCGUGAGGUAAGGGUGAAAGGGUGCGGUAAGAGCGCACCGCGUGUCUGGUAACAGUUCACGGCAAGGUAAACCCCACCAGAAGCAAGACCAAAUAGGAAUCCUGAGGCACGGCCCGUGCUGGAUUCGGGUAGGUCGCUUGAGCGUAUGAGUGAUUGUACGCCUAGAGGAAUGAUCGUCCUCGACAGAACCCGGCUUACAGGCCCACUUCUCAA